UUAAAACUUUCAACAACGGAUCUCUUGGUUCUGGCAUCGAUGAAGAACGCAGCGAAAUGCGAUAAGUAAUGUGAAUUGCAGAAUUCAGUGAAUCAUCGAAUCUUUGAACGCACAUUGCGCCCUCUGGUAUUCCGGGGGGCAUGCCUGUUCGAGCGUCAUUACAACCCUCAAGCUU
rnacentral:rRNA from 1 species